rnacentral:piRNA from 1 species
UUGUCAACCACUACUACUGCAAACGCCCCA